AGCGAACGCUGGCGGCAGGCUUAACACAUGCAAGUCGAGCGGGCCCUUCGGGGUCAGCGGCAGACGGGUGAGUAACACGUGGGAACGUGCCCUUCGGUUCGGAAUAACUCAGGGAAACUUGAGCUAAUACCGGAUACGCCCUUUUGGGGAAAGGUUUACUGCCGAAGGAUCGGCCCGCGUCUGAUUAGCUAGUUGGUGAGGUAAAGGCUCACCAAGGCUACGAUCAGUAGCUGGUCUGAGAGGAUGAUCAGCCACAUUGGGACUGAGACACGGCCCAAACUCCUACGGGAGGCAGCAGUGGGGAAUCUUGCGCAAUGGGCGAAAGCCUGACGCAGCCAUGCCGCGUGGAUGAUGAAGGUCUUAGGAUUGUAAAUCCUUUCAGCGGGACGAUAAUGACGGUACCCGCAGAAGAAGCCCCGGCUAACUUCGUGCCAGCCGCCGCGGUAAU
rnacentral:rRNA from 1 species